rnacentral:rRNA from 1 species
UACGUAGGGGGCAAGCGUUGUCCGGAUUUAUUGGGCGUAAAGAGCGUGUAGGCGGCCAUACAGGUCAGCUGUGAAAACUCGAGGCUCAACCUCGAGACGUCGGUUGAAACCGUAUGGCUAGAGUCCGGGAGAGGUGAGUGGAAUUCCUAGUGUAGAGGUGAAAUUCGUAGAUAUUAGGAAGAACACCAGUGGCGAAGGCGGCUCACUGGCCCGGUACUGACGCUGAGGCGCGAAAGCGUGGGGAGCAAACAGG